GGACUGGUAGCACAGUGGUGGAGCACCUGUGCGAGAUAUCAGGAGGUCCUGGGUUCAAACUCCAGCCAGUGUA